ACCAUAAAGAUUCCAACCGUGUCGACUUCAGUCGUUCUCGUUGCAAUUCGAUCAAAAGUAGGGGAGUAGGCCUCGAUCGGUCGCCAUGGAUCUGCGGCUUCGCCCGCUGCAGCAGCCCUUCAUCGAGGCUGUCCGAUCGGGGGACGUCGACGCCGCCCGACGCGUCCUGGAGGGCGUCGAGGACCCGGACGCGGCCGCCGCCCUGGCGAUCGCGCAGACGGAGGCCGGUGAGACCGCGCUGUACAUCGCGGCGGAGAGCAACUCGGUGGAGCUAUUCCGGUAUCUCCUCCGCUUCUAUGACUUCGACGCCGCCGUCAUCCGCUCCCGCGUCGACCUCGACGCUUUUCAUGUCGCCGCCAAGCACGGGCACACCGUGAUUGUUAAAGAGCUGCUGAGCAACUGGCCUGAUGUCUGCAGACAAUGUAACUCAUCAAAUACUACUGCUCUUUAUUCAGCUGCGGUCAUGGAUCAUUUGGAGGUGGUGAAUUCCAUACUAGAUGUGGAUGAUACCACAAUAAGAAUCGUGAGAAAGAAUGGGAAAACUGCACUGCACACUGCUGCUAGAGUUGGUUAUUAUCAAAUUGUGAAAGCACUUCUUCUGAGAGAUCCGGGAGUAGUUUCUAUAAAGGAUAAAAAGGGACAGACUGCAUUACAUAUGGCUGUAAAAGGUCGCAGUCUAGAUGUUGUGGAGGAGUUACUGCAAGCUGAUAUUUCUACUCUGAACAUGUGUGACAAGAAGGGAAACACAGCUAUGCAUAUAGCCACCAGGAAAUGGCGUCCACAGAUGGUACGGCUUCUUUUGUGCUAUGAGACUAUCGAGGUGAAUAAGAUCAAUAAUCAGAAUGAAACUGCAAUGGACUUGGCUGAAAAGAUCCCGUAUGGUGAUUCUCAGAUGGAUAUUAUGGAAAGUCUUUCAGAAGCUGGUGCCAAACAUGCAAGGAAUGUUGGCAAGAACGACGAGGAGCUGCGGAGAACUGUCAGCGAUAUUAAGCAUGAUGUCCACACCCAGUUCAUUCAGAAUGAUAAUACAAACAAGCAUGUGACAGGCAUAGCAAAAGAGCUUAGAAAAUUACAUCACGAAGCUGUUCAGAAUACCAUCAACUCAGUGACAAUGGUAGCAGUUCUAAUCGGAUCCAUUGCAUUUAUGGCCAUAUUCAAUUUGCCUGGUCAAUAUUUCCAAGAUGGAGACGAAGUAGGCAAGGCCAAUAUAGCUGACAAAAUGGGCUUUCGUGUGUUCUGCCUCUUAAAUGCCACUGCAUUGUUCAUUUCACUUGCUGUCGUCGUGGUUCAGAUCACUUUGGUCGCAUGGGAAACAGGUGCUCAGAAGCAGGUCGUUUCCAUAGUAAAUAAGCUCAUGUGGACUGCCUGCCUCAGUACUUGCGCAGCUUUCCUCUCUCUAUCUUACGUGGUCGUGGGGAAGCAAUCAUCCUGGAUGGCAACGACAAUAACUGCAAUCGGAGGUCCUAUCAUGGCAGGCACCCUGUUGACGAUGAGUUAUUUUGUUCUUCGACAGCGUUUUCGAUUUGGCGAAGACUCUCAAAGGCGAAUCAGAAGGGCCAGUGGCAGCAAGUCCUUCUCCUGGUCCCAUCACUCUGGUUUCUCAGAUCCAGAUGCCUUAUCCGAACACGAGAAGAAGAUAUAUGCUCUUUAGCUCUGACAUCAGAAGUAAUCAGACCAGCAAUCACUAAACCCUCCUUGUACAUGCCCAUUGAGCUUGCCACCCGUGUGAUGAUUUAGCCAUCAAGAGCCGUGCUUUCCCCUUUCCGUUUAGCCAAGCCAUGGAGUACAAAUAAGGAACCUAUGAACUAUGCAAGGUCUCUUACCAGGAAGGGAAGGUUUCAAGAACACAAACUGAGUCAUAUCCUUAAUUGAUGACUAAGCGACUACAUAGCAGUGUAAUAAUUUCUGCAAAUUUUUGGCACUAAAAUGAGCACAAUAAAUAUGCUUUUGCAGAUCUAUAUCUUUAGCUUAAUGCUUAAAGCAUCCCUGCUGUUGUUCUUGAGGUGCCCUGCAAAAGAUGAGGUCAUUCGGUAGCUCGAAAGAUUGGUAUCAGCUGAUGAGUUAGACGUGCUUGAUGAUGCAUUAUGUCCCCAGUCGUUGUUCUCUGUCGAUAUCUUGGUGGAAGCAUAAGGCACGGCACUGGUCAACCUGAGAAGGAGCGAGACAUUAGGGCACUUCAUGUUCAAGAUCCUGAGGUAGAUGUAUCGAACUAUCGAAACCAUUGUUACUGAAAGCUGAACUUGUACUUCAGAAACCCACCUCUCUUUGCGCUUCUCCAAGAACCGUGCCAACGACGCCUUUCGAGCUUGAGUCAUGUUUCGAGGUUAAAUUAACCAACCACCUCUUGGAAUGGCCUGUUGUUGGUUCACUGAAAUUGGAUGCGCCACAAGUUUAAGCGCUGUUGAUGCAGUUGAAGGAGGCGACACGACUCGAGCUGAAGAUUGUUUAGAACUGACAGAAUUCGAUAUGGGUCGUGAUGCUUCAGAUCGGAUUUUCUUGCCAUUUGAAGCCGUAUUUGGCCCUGAAUUCGCCAAGGAUGACAUUACUGCUUGAGCCUGAAAGGAAAGUUAGUGCUGAGAAACAUCCAUACUGUCCAUCUAAUCUGAAAGAAAAUGAAGAAGAAGAAGAAGAAGAAGAAUACCUUGUCGAAUGGGACAUCGUGGAAGACAUUCACACAGCCGCCAUAGAAGAUUGUCAGCUGCGCAGCCGCCUUGUGGUUUUGCUUUGCCAUGUUCCUGAACGGCCAUUCCGCCAUGGUUUUAACAGUUACUGAGAUCUGAAAUAUCUGAAACAAGAUGCUUUUACCUAUGGCCAAAGGAGCCAACUUCAACUCCUCCUCCUACGAAGGGCUGCUUCUUUGUGGACUUGAUCGCUGAAUUAGGAGCAGAGUAGUGAGCGUUCUGAACCUUGAAGUAAGGGUUUCCAGCGAGGGGAAUGGUGAAAUGGCGGCUCGAAGAGCUAAAAGAGCCAUGGAUUGAGUGCCGGCCAGGAAAAUUCUAAAGAGAAAACAAAACAAAAGAUUGCUGAUCCAUUUCGGUGAAAGAAAAACAGUGGCAUGGUCCGUGAUGGAGGAGUUGCGGACCUGAGAUACUAAAGCAUGGUGAUUGAGCUCGAAGGCGGCGGCUUUUGGCAGAUGUUGAGGUCUCAAAGCCUGGCUUCUUGGACCCUCCUCUUGCGAAGCCUUGUACAGCAUGAACUGCUGCAUGGCGGACGCCUUGUUGGAGAAAGGCCACUGCAGCGGUGAACCUGCUAAAGCAGCUGCAAUUCGGAGA